UACAGGGGGGGCAAGCGUUGUUCGGAAUUACUGGGCGUAAAGGGCUCGUAGGCGGCCAUCUAAGUCACACGUGAAAUCCCCAGGCUUAACCUGGGAACUGCGUGUGAUACUGGAUGGCUUGAAUUCGGGAGAGGGAUGCAGAAUUCCAGGUGUACCGGUGAAAUGCGUAGAUAUCUGGAGGAAUACCGGUGGCGAAGGCGGCAUCCUGGACCGACAUUGACGCUGAUGAGCGAAAGCUAGGGGAGCAAACGGG
rnacentral:rRNA from 1 species